CCUACGGGAGGCUGCAGUAGGGAAUAUUGCUCAAUGGGGGAAACCCUGAUGCAGCGACGCCGCGUGAGUGAUGAAGUAUUUCGGUUUGUAAAGCCCUAUUAGUAGGGAAGAAAAUGACGGUAUCUAACUAAGAAGCCCCGGCUAACUCCGUGCCAGCAGCCGCGGUAAUACGGAGGGGGCAAGCGUUACUCGGAAUUACUGGGUGUAAAGGGAGCGUAGACGGCAGCACAAGUCUGGUGUGAAAUGCCAGGGCUUAACCCUAGAACUGCAUUUGAAACUGUUCAGCUAGAGUGUGGGAGAGGUAAGUGGAAUUCUUGGUGUAGGGGUGAAAUGCGUAGAGAUUAAGAGGAACACUAGUGGCGAAGGCGACUUACUAGAACGUAACUGACGUUGAGGCUCGAAAGCGUGGGGAGCAAACAGGAUUAGAUACCCUAGUAGUC
rnacentral:rRNA from 1 species